rnacentral:lncRNA from 1 species
GCAGGGUCUGAUCUCUGCACCCCGGGCCCCCGCGCAGACCCGCGGACGAGCGCUGGGUGGGGAUUUCAACCUGCUCCAGCUGAUGUGCGCGGGGUUUGCACCCCGGGGAGGCGAGGGAGAGAGUCCGGCCACGUCCUGCCAGGCCCCGCCCGCGCCCCCGCUGCCCUCCAGCGCGGAACCCAGGUCCCAGGAGACGCGAGGCGCCCAAGGCCCCGGGAUUCCGAGCCAGUCAACCCCGGGCCGCGACGCUCUGGGAACCACACCCGUCCAGGAAGGCACCUUGGCCAAAGCCGGCUCCUUCGCAGAUGACCCGGGCCAGGGUCCGAGCGCCAGGCUGUGACCCCGCGAGGCUGUUCCACGCUGGCCGCGAGAGACGGAGGGCAGGAGGGGCCCGAAUAGGACAGAGAGAGAGAGAGAGAGAGACAGAAGGAGGCGCACGCGCUCCCCAGGGACCGGGACGCGGUGGUGGGCGGGACCUCGCGGGGGUGGGGGGUGGUCGCAGGACCCAGAAGGCUCAGGACCUUUACGGAUAGGGAGGACCCCGCAGGGGGGAGCGGGGGAGCCCCACGCCCGGCGUCCUCCGGGUGCGAGGGUCUCGGGGAGUCCGAGCCCGGGCCCACGGCCUCUGUCCCGCGGCCACUACCUGCUGGGGGUCCCGGGCCUGGGCCACGCCGGGCUGCCCUCGGGGACUUGCUGCGGCCGUUGAGGGGUCUCCGCGCGCCGCGCAGACUCGCCUCCCAACCCGAGGGCCCGGGCGGCCGCCGCCCAGAGCGUCCAGCGGCAGCGUCUUGCUCUCGAAGGCGUCCUCCACGCAGCGGAACACGCAGCCAAGCUUGGGCCGGGCCAGAGGCCUCGCGGGCUCCUGAGGCUGCCGCGCGGUCACGGCAGGAGCGGGCGACAGAAUCCGGUCUCGGAGCCUCCUGUAGCGAGCCACAGGAGGGAGCCUCCCAGGUGGUCGACCGGAGCCAGGUGCUGCCAGGCACCCGACUGCAGAGCUUGCCCUCCAGGUGAUCUCGCAGUAUCGGUGUUCACAAGCCCUGUAAGGCACUCGGGGUAUCCUGAAGGCUACAGAUUCUGCAAGGGCAGAGACUUUAAGGAACAGCCAUAGUCCUUCUCCAGCUCAAAAUCUGGACCAUGGGCACAAGGUACACAUUGGGACCAUGCCAGGAGCUCUCCCAGAGGAGGAGGCCAGGCUGGCAGGGAGCCAGGUAGAGUUACAACAUAUUUCUGGAUGCCUGCAUCGUAGAGUCCAUCGGACUUCAACCCAGCGGUUCACCCACAGCGCCACGGUAGCUUUUAUUAACACAAGGCUAUUGUGUGCCAUUCAGUUGUGAGUAUAAUAAAUGUGCCAAGAAGAUGCAGUCGUUAAAAUGAGACAAAACUAUGCACAGAGGACUAAACAGGAUUUCAGACUCGAGACGCAAACCCCGAGGUCAGGCUCAGCUAGAGACACUGAACUGGCCCAGUAUCUUGCCGAGUAAAUCAGGAACUGUGGCUUGAAUGACAACAGAAAUGGAUGGGUCUUUCUUGGACAAGUGCUGAUUAAUAGUGCAUUUUCCAGCAAAAAUCCUGCAGCCACCAAAGAAAAAGCAUAUCUGUCUGAUACUAUUAGCUUUUCCCUGAUUUCAACCUAGGGAGCCAUGCCUGGUCCGCAGCCACCGUGUCAUCUGCCCCAAAGUCAGACAUUUCUUCUGACACAAAUAUAAAAUGAGCCUAAUACUUCCAGACAACCCAGUCCUCCCUACGGCAGCUGAGUCGUGUCUUUUAUACAAUGCUGCCAGUAACAGUCACACCUGGCUGCACAGCUGGCUGCCUCAACUUCUAGGUGCCUCGAAAUGGCUAAAUCCCACGAAUGGCUCUUCUGGUUGCGUGAAAACAUGCAUAAACGCAUGCUUGUGCACACAAGUGAGCACACACACACACCUCCUGUCAAUUCAGCUCUGAGAGCAGAACCUUAGCCCACCUAGGGUGGGAGGACACAGAAGUUCCAUCUGCAGCCAGUCAGGCUCCAUCCACAGGCUGGACGAAGCUCCCGGGCUGCGUCCCGGGUCUCCCAGCAGGAAUGGAAAUCACACCUAACGUUGCCUUCACCAAUGCACUGCUUCCUCUCUGAAAAAGAGUGGAGAAAACGCCGUUUAGUGCGACGACCUGGGGAAUGUGUGUGACCCACCACAGGUCAGCACUCAAGGCAGUUGGGGCCUUGACCAGGCACUGGCUCUGCACAGGAUGGUCACUGAGCCAAUGGCAGGCACUGCCCUCAUGGGUCCAGCACCAGCUACAGCGCCACGUCCUGAGCCUCCAGCCCGGGAGACGCACCUGGCACCCACCGAAGGCCACACUCUCAGGAAGAUGAGUCCAUGCUCCUCACAAAGCCCCUACAGAAGUGACCUUGGAUCUUUCUCACCAUGUCUGGGCCAGCAGCCCGGUUUCUACCCAACUUCCCUCAUUGCUUAGAAAGUGGGCCUCUGCUAAGUUCAAAGUUUUUAUUACCUUUCCAUUUUUUCAUGUUUUUGAAGAAGUUAUGAAGGAUCUGCUUUUCACAAGGGCGGGCCCCGGAUCAGUCCCUGGGGCAUGGCAGCAUCGGGUGGGAGGCCACGUGGGCUGAGGGGCGGGAGCGAGGGCACGCUGGGACAGAGGCAGAGGGGCGGGAGUGAGGGCACGCUGGGACAGAGGCAGAGGGCCCGGCCGUAGAGACACCACGGUUUUCUAAUCUAGGAGAGGUCUGAAGAGCUUUUUGGUUUUUGAUUUAACCUAACUUCUAAGUAAGAAGAUAUUACCUCAAACAGAAUGAAAAAUAAAUGUAGUCAAAUGACACAUACAUGUUUACUUCUUCCCGUAUUAAGCGUUACAGUUGAAAUCUCUGCUGCAGUUAACAUAGUACCUUGUUCUUUGUGCCUUUAAUCGGGUUCGUUUCUAAAUAGGUUGUCCCGGAACCAUCGAUCUCUAGAAGGUACAGGAGGAAGGGGACCUGCCAGUCCAGCCCUCAUAUUUUACAGAGGGAAAAGGUGAAGCCCCAUGUAAAACAGGGAUUUCCCUCGGUGACACUUCCAGGCUGAGAAGGGCCGGGGAUCUGGACACCUACCCAGAAACACUCCCACCCUGUCAAUGCCUCUCUGAAUUAUGUGAUCAACUGCCUGGAGUAUGAACUAGGCACAUGCAAAUAGAGAACAGAGGUCUUGUUGAAAAUAUGAUGCUGAAUUUUAAAAACUCACUCCCCAAAUUAAAGGAACAAGACCAGAGCA